GAUGAACGCUAGCGGCAGGCCUAACACAUGCAAGUCGAGGGGCAGCUUGAUGAAACUUUCGGGUUGAUUCGAAGGCGACCGGCGGACGGGUGCGUAACGCGUAUGCAACCUACCUUUAACAGGGGGAUAAUCGAGAGAAAUUUUGUCUAAUACCCCGUAAUAUAUAAAUUGGCAUCAAUUUAUAUUGAAAGAUUUUAUUGGUUAAAGAUGGGCAUGCGUAACAUUAGAUAGAUGGUGAGGUAACGGCUCACCAUGUCCACGAUGUUUAGGGGAACUGAGAGGUUAAUCCCCCACACUGGUACUGAGACACGGACCAGACUCCUACGGGAGGCAGCAGUGAGGAAUAUUGGUCAAUGGUCGGGAGACUGAACCAGCCAUGCCGCGUGCAGGAUGACGGCUCUAUGAGUUGUAAACUGCUUUUAUAAGGGAAUAAAAAGGAGUGUGUAUACUCUCUUGCAUGUACCUUAAGAAUAAGGAUCGGCUAACUCCGUGCCAGCAGCCGCGGUAAUACGGAGGAUCCGAGCGUUAUCCGGAUUUAUUGGGUUUAAAGGGUGCGUAGGUUGUAGUUUAAGUUAGUGGUCAAAUAUAGUGGCUUAACCAUUUAUCCGCCAUUAAUACUGAAUUACUAGAGUAUGUUUGCAGCAGGCGGAAUGUGUAGUGUAGCAGUGAAAUGCAUAGAUAUUACACAGAACACCAAUUGCGAAGGCAGCUUGCUAAACCAUUACUGACACUGAUGCACGAAAGCGUGGGUAGCGAACGGGAUUAGAUACCCCGGUAGUCCACGCAGUAAACGAUGAUAACUCGUUGCCGGCGAUAUACAGUCGGUGACCAAGCGAAAGCGAUAAGUUAUCCACCUGGGGAGUACGACCGCAAGGUUGAAACUCAAAGGAAUUGACGGGGGCCCGCACAAGCGGAGGAACAUGUGGUUUAAUUCGAUGAUACGCGAGGAACCUUACCCGGGCUUGAAAGUUAGUGACCGGUUCAGAGAUGGACUCUCCCUUCGGGGCACGAAACUAGGUGCUGCAUGGUUGUCGUCAGCUCGUGCCGUGAGGUGUCGGGUUAAGUCCCAUAACGAGCGCAACCCCUAUUGAUAGUUACCAGCAUGUAGUGGUGGGGACUCUAUCAAGACUGCCAGUGUAAGCUGUGAGGAAGGUGGGGAUGACGUCAAAUCAGCACGGCCCUUACGUCCGGGGCGACACACGUGUUACAAUGGUCGGUACAGAGGGCAGCUACCCAGUGAUGGGAUGCGAAUCUCUAAAGCCGAUCUCAGUUCGGAUUGGAGGCUGGAACUCGCCUCCAUGAAGUUGGAUUCGCUAGUAAUCGCAUAUCAGCCAUGAUGCGGUGAAUACGUUCCCGGGCCUUGUACACACCGCCCGUCAAGCCAUGGAAGUUGGGGGUGCCUGAAGUCCGUUACCGCAAGGAACGGCCUAGGGCAAAAUCAGUAACUAGGGC
rnacentral:rRNA from 1 species